GAUGAACGCUAGCUACAGGCUUAACACAUGCAAGUCGAGGGGUAACGAGAGGAAAGCUUGCUUUCCUUGUCGACGGCCGGCGCACGGGUGAGUAACGCGUAUCCAACCUGCCCCCAACUAGGGAAUAACCUUGCGAAAGUAAGACUAAUACCCUAUAAUUUCCUCAGAUGUCAUCUGACGAGGAAUAAAGAUUUAUCGGUUGUGGAUGGGGAUGCGUCUGAUUAGAUUGUUGGCGGGGUAACGGCCCACCAAGGCUACGAUCAGUAGGGGUGCUGAGCGGAAGUUCCCCAACAUUGGAACUGAGACACGGUCCAAACUCCUACGGGAGGGAGCAGUGAGGAAUGUUGGUCAAUGGGCGGAAGCCUGAACCAGCCAAGUAGCGUGCAGGAUGACGGCCCUAUGGGUUGUAAACUGCUUUUAUACAGGAAUAAAGUUAGCCACGUGUGGUUAUUUGUAGGUACUGUAUGAAUAAGGACCGGCUAAUUCCGUGCCAGCCGCCGCGGUAA
rnacentral:rRNA from 1 species